rnacentral:misc_RNA from 1 species
AAAGUCGUAACAAGGUCUCCGUUGGUGAACCAGCGGAGGGAUCAUUACAGAGUUAUCCAACUCCCAAACCCAUGUGAACUUAUCUCUUUGUUGCCUCGGCGCAAGCUACCCGGGACCCAGCGCCCCGGGCGGCCCGCCGGCGGACAAACCAAAACUCUUGUUAUCUUAGUUGAUUAUCUGAGCGUCUUAUUUAAUAAGUCAAAACUUUCAACAACGGAUCUCUUGGUUCUG